ACCAGAUGCAAUAUAUAUUUGUAUAUCUUUAUCAAAACCCAACGCUUGCAAAAUCAAUGCUGCCUCUUCUGGGGUGAGAGGACACAAUCCUUGAGAUCUCUUCUCCUCAGAUACAAUCUCUUUCUCCCUCCACCAAGGGAAUGCAUACCUUAACCGUUUGAGCUCCUCAGCUUCCUCCUCAGUGCAGCCAUGGGUACAACCAGAGAAUGCCAACAUAUCCAUCUCAUAUCUUAGAUGCAAUGCUACAAAUGGCCCUCUCUCCUGAAGCAAUCGUACCAAUUUUUCUCCCAAAGCCUCAAUAUCUGGAGUGAAUUUCAAUGCCUGGAAAUUCACACGACAUCUGAGUUUUUGAAGCUCAAGAGGAAUCCCA
rnacentral:misc_RNA from 1 species